UGAAUAAACAAAAAUAUCAUUACUAGAACCACUUCCCAUUAGGGGAGCUGUAGAGUGUGUCUUCGUGAAAUUUGAAUCUGAUCUAGGGGAAGAGCCCAGAGGAGAUGGCAUAACAUAACCACCAUUGUGCCCAAGUGCCUCUUUCCUUCGCUUCCUGAAGCACCAGACAGCCAACCCAACAAGGCUGAGCAUUAUGACACCUACUGCUACACCAAUGGCGACUAUACCUCCAGUACCAAUGCCUCCACUACCUGUUAAUUUUGAACUUUCUGGUGCACUAGGAAAGGUAUUGUUGUCAGAUAAGGGAGGAGAAGAAGAUGGUGGAGAAUUGAAUGAGGAAGGAAGUGGACUCAAUCUCAUCACUGGUGAUGGGGGUGAUGCUUUAGUAGAAUUUGAUGGUGAAUUACUGGGAGUAGGGGCUAUUGAUGUUGGUGGAGAAGGUGAAUCUGUGGGUAGUGUUGACGCUGGUGGAGGAGGUGAAUCUUUUGGUGGUGUUGAUGCUGAUGGAGGAGGUGAAUUUGUAGGAGGUGAACUUUUCGGAGGGGUUGAAGCUGGAGGAGGAGGCGAAUUUGCAGGUGAAGGUGAACUUUUGGGAGGUGGCACAGAUACUGUUGGUGGGGAUGAAUUGGCAGGUGGCGGUGAUUUUUCAGGUGGUUUUGAUGAUGGAGGCGGCGGUGAGUUUUCUGGUGGUUUUGAUGAUGGUGGAGGUGGUGAGUUUUCAGGUGGCUUUGAUGAUGGAGGCGGUGGUGAGUUUUCAGGUGGUUUUGAUGAUGGAGGCGGCGGUGAAUUUUCAGGUGGCUUUGAUGAUGGUGGCGGGUGUGAAUUUUCAGGUGGCUUUGAUGACGGUGGCGGUGGUGUGGGAGAUGGAUUUGAAGUUGGUGGAGGUGAAUUUGCUGGUGGUGUUAGUGAUGGUGGUGGAGAAGAAGGAGAACUUGUAGAUGGAUUGGAUGGUGGUGAUGGAGAAGUUGGCGGAUUGGAUGGAGGUGGUGGAGAAGUUGGUGGAUUAGAUGGCGGUGCAGGAGGAGAUGAGCUUGUGGGUGGACUUGCGGAUUGUGAUGGCGGUGGUGGAGAAUUGGAGGUUGGAGGAUCAGCAUUGGUUGAAGGUGGAGAAGGUGAAGUUGGAGGUGGUGAGUUUAAUGGUGUAGAAGGCGGAUUUGCAACAACAGCAGAAGUAGGAGAUUGAGGAAGUGCUGAUGGAGUUGAAGGGGUGGGAGGGUCCGUUGGAUUGGCAUUGGACUGUGAAGGUGGAGAAGUCGUAGGAAUAGUGUCUGGUGGUGGAGAGGAUGGUUGUGGUGGUGGACUGAUGGAGGAUGGUGGUGGUGAACUGAUGGCGGAUGGCGGUGAACUAGAGGUGGAUGGUGGUGGUGAAGUGGUCGAAACUGGAGGAACAGCAGAAGUGGGUGAAUUUGAGGGUGGCGAUGUAGUCGCCAUUCCAAGUUUCUAACUUUCAACUUCAAGUCGUAAAAUUCACAUACCAAAAUUUUUUAUCUUGAUUUAUUCAGUGCGGAAACAAAAUUUCAAACAGAAUUCAGUGAUCAAUUUCAACUGGAACAAAACUUACAAAUAUGACAGAUAUCCAAAUCACCAAACUUCACCAACAAAAAGCCUGAUAUCACCAAACGUUCAUUCUUUACAGCACAGAAACCUCUUUUUGGAGUCCAACAACUUUCACCAGCUAAGUUAGAGCAAAAAUC
rnacentral:misc_RNA from 1 species